rfam:Morus notabilis contig23612, whole genome shotgun sequence.
CUGAUGGGGAUGAAGCAAUAUAUAUAAUCCAACACUUGAUCUGAGAUACAACUGUAUCGAUUGAUGCCAAAUGAUUUGCCUCUGAAUCUGC